UUUCAGAUGUAUUCCUAAUAAUUUUUAUAAAUUUUUUGCUUUUUUUUUUAAGCCAUAGACAUCAACAUGAACAUAUUUGUAAACUGACAACUGAUAAUAUCCAAACGAAGCCUAUAAUCCUAGUAAUUUCUCUUAUUCAACUAUUGUCAAUCUAAAACUUCUAUGAACAUGUAAUAUAGAUCAAGUCAAGCGUGCACAACUGGAUUGGGAAAGGCGCUACAAAAUCAUAGGAGGAAUUGCUCGUGGGCUCCUUUACCUUCACGAGGAUUCUCGACUUAGGAUAAUUCAUCGGGACCUUAAGGCAAGCAACGUUUUGUUAGAUGCAGAUAUGGUUCCUAAAAUUGCAGAUUUUGGGAUGGCAAGGUUGUUUGUUCGGGAUGAAACACAAGGCAAUACCAGCAGAAUUGUGGGCACCUAGUAAGUAUCAAAAUAUUGAUUGAGCUUUGAAUUGUUUAUUGUAUGAACGGAUUCCAGCACUGUAUAUGUCAUAGAAACAGCAUGAAACUCCAAAAAAACGAUUUAGUUACAUUCUAUCUUUAAGAAAACCUUGUUCGUCAAAAUUGAGAAUGACAUUAGAAAUGUUCAUCUGCAGUGGAUAUAUGGCACCAGAGUAUGCUAUGCACGGGCAAUUCUCAGUAAAAUCAGAUGUUUUCAGUUUUGGUGUGUUGAUUUUGGAAAUUAUAAGUGGUCAGAAAAAUAAUUGCUUCCGAAAUGGGGAGACGGUGGAGGACCUACUAAGCUGUGUAAGUAUACUCUGUAAAGUCAUAUUUGUUUCUUUUUGGUUAGACAUUUGCACCAUUAUUUGUCUACAAAUUGAUAAUUUUUUGCUGCAGGCAUGGAAAAAUUGGAGGGAAGGGACAGCAUUGAAUAUCAUUGAUCCAACUUUGAGAGAUGGUUCGGGAAAUGAAAUGAUGAGAUGCAUCCACAUUGGAUUGCUAUGCGUUCAAGAAAAAGUAGCUGACAGACCAACCAUGGCAACAGUUGUUCUGAUGCUUAAUAGCUUCUCAAUCUCCCUCCCGCUGCCCUCACAGCCAGCAUUUUUUAUGCACAGCAACAUUGAAUCUGAUAUGUCAUCCUCGUUGGGUUAUAAUUCUCAGAUGACAGAGUCCAACGAAUUCAAAAGCGCAGCACUUCCAUUGUCCACGAACGAGGUUACAAUUACUGAUCUCUAUCCUCGAUAGUGUUUGAGAAUUGAAUCGUUCGAUGUCACUCGCUGCACCACUUCAACUUGGAUUUGUCUCCACAGUGGUAGGAGCUGGUGAGAGUUUAGACAAAGAUUAUUAGUUGUAAAAUUGAUGCUCUAAAAAAAUGGUGUUGCUUUGCUUCAUGUCAAUAACAACUUCCAAUUCCUGAAUUUGGUGUUCUUGCCCACCGGUAUACGCUAUACAUGCACAUCUUAAAUCAAACUCUGAGUAUAGUUUUUUUUUCCUGUUUAUUGAACUUAUGAUCAUAACUUAUGGGUGUAAAAAUUAUGUAUGAAUAUCAUUUUGUUUGAUUAGAAAUGGGAAAAAAGGAUUGAAAGACUCGUUUCAUUUUGUUUCAUAAGUAAAUGUUGCAUCUAAGCCUUUUAAUUUGAUUCAGCAAUUAAGUACAAUUACAAGUCUUCAUGAACCAUUAAUGAAUAUUUGCCAUGAUAUUCGGUUUCUUUUAUUGAAGGACAGUUGUACAUAAUAAACUUGCCGUACAAUUAAUGUUUCAAACUCCAUAGUUGUAGGGAGAGAGUGAAUGCGGGUUCUUUGUUAGUUUUAACAUUUCAUUAAAUUGAAAAAAAAAUAGAAUCAGUGGUUAUAUUAUAUUAUAAUAUGUUAUUUAUCCUAUCAAUUUGGUUUAAAAUAUUUGUAUUCAUGACAUAAUAUAUAGUUAUCAAAUAAAUUCAAAUGUUAGUUCAAUCAAUUUAUGGAUAAAUCAAUUAAUUUUUAAAUGAAAUAUUACACAUAAAUCAAUAAAUUAUUAUAACUCAAGAAUAAAAAAUGUUACAACAAAAUGGUGCGGCAAAUAAUAUUUUUUAUAGUAUUAUUUAUCCAUAUAUUAAUUAGUUAACUUAAAAUUUACCUCUUUAUAAACUUCCUAAAAAAAUUUUUUUGUUAGCAAAAGAUAUAACUUGAGAGAAAAGGGGUUUCAAUACCAAAAUUUCUUUAAAACAUAAAUGUGAUUAACGGGACUAAACUUGUUUCAGCACAAUCCACAAGAGACUUGUAUAAAUUUUUUAAUAAUAAGUGACUCGUUCAAUAUCUCUAGAGGAAUCAAUUCGCCUUUCCAUGCCAACUAAGCAAAAAUAAUUACUUAUAGUAUAUGGUCACUUAAUUGCAAGUUUAAUUAACUUGCAUUCUAUACGUUUUAUUUGUAUAUUUAUUUUUGAGAAAAUAAUAAUAAUAGACUAAUAUUUUGUGGUCCGUUUCAAAUGAGAUUAGGAUUUUUUUUAUGUAUUAUUUAUUAAUAAUUAAAAAAAUCAUUAUUACUAUUAUAAAAGGUCUAAGAUAGCUUACAUAAAUUUCAUUUUUAAUAAAGAAAAAACAAGGAUUAUUAUUGCAACAUGCGAUGGCUUUGUCUCAACUACUUCAAACAACUCCAUGUUCAGGCGUAUUAUUGAAGAGUUUAAUUUCCAUGUGAUGACAGAGUGUUUCAAUUCGAUGGAUUUGAUUAGUCUUAAACUCUUGUCAUAAUCACAGCCGAACCACCCAAUUUCUUUGAACUCAAGUCAUGAUCAUAAAAGGAAAUAACCAUAGAAAAAUAAACUUUUCCAACACAACUUUAAAAUAUAGUAGUCAAACUUUAGAAGUUUAAGCAAAAUUUUAAAUUUAUAAAUAAAAUAUUAUAAAUUAACCAAUUAAUGAAUCAAUUAAUAAAUUAAUAUAUUAAUUUAUUAUUAAAUAAUUUUAAUAUAAAAUUAAAUCAAAUUUGAUAAGACUUUAAUAUUAAAUUUUAAAAAAUUUCAAAAAAUUUUCGUUAAAGUUGACACAAAAUCUUUUUGCCACCCUUUUUGAUUUGACCCAGUGCAAAGCCGAAAUUGAUUUAUUCAACAUAGAUAAUUAUAAAACCUUAUGAAUCAAAAGUAUUUUUGUAGGACUUCCAGACUGAUGUUGGAUCGAUUUUCAAGGAUUAGAUUAAAAUGAUGGGAAUGGGUUCUUCAAGACUUCUUUUCCUUUUAGCUCUUAACCUUGUUCUCAGUGUCAGCAGCGCCCAGAACUCUCUGUUAUUUCCAAGUUGUUCAGACGAUGAGGUAACUUAUACCGCCAACAAUACCUACGAAGCAAACCUCAACAACCUACCGUCUUCUUUCUCCUCUAUAGCUGCAAAUGAUUACGGCUUCUACAACAUGUCCGUCGGCCAAAACACCGACAGAGUUAACGCGGUUGCCCUUUGUAGAGGAGAUAUUAACCCUGACGUUUGCCUUAGUUGCAUUAAUAAUGCUACCACUGAGCUAACAAAUCGGUGUCCCAACAGGAUGGAAGCAGCUAUUUGGUAUGACUAUUGUGUGUUGGGCUACUCAAAUCGCUCCAUCUUGGGUGUCAUGGAAACUAGCUUUUUUUUUCUAUUUGACGAACCCUAUGAGUUUAACGAAUCUGGUCAGUUUUAAUGCAUCGCUGAGUAAUUUGCUGUUUCAACUGAUAGAAAGAGCCGCAUCAGGAGGUUCUCUACGCAAGUAUGCAAGAGGAAAUGUUGACGAUUCAAAUUUCAAACCAAUAUAUGCACUUGUGCAGUGCACUCCUGAUUUGUCCCUGCCUUGGAGAGAUCUUUUCAACAGAUUCCACAAUGUUGUACCGGAAGACGAGGAGGCAGGGUAAUUACGACUAGCUGUAGUCUACAGUUUGAGAUGGAACGUUUCUACAAUGCUUCACCCGGUACAACACCACCCUCGCCAUCUCCUCCUCCGCCUUCCAAUGAAACCACAAACUCAACAUAUAAAACACCUAUUCUCUGCUUCAAAUCUGUUGAGUCAAACCGUCCUAUAAGUGCUCCAUAUCUGUGUCUCCUUUUCUGUCUCUUUUCAAUGUUCUGAAUUGUUAUUCUUUUUUUGCUUUCUUAAUUCAGGACUUGAUUAAUCAGCAAGCUUUGUUAUGAAAUCAAAUGUUUGGUUUUUUGCAGGAAAUAAGAACAACACAUCUCGAAUUGUCAUCGCUGUCGUUGUUCCAUCUGCCAGUGUUAUGAUACUUAUCAUCUGUGUCUACCUUUUUUUGAGAGCUAAAAAGAGGAAGGAAACUGUUGAAAGUAAGAUUAAACGUCUUUCCAACAAUUUUAUGGGAAAAGAUUAUUUAUUUAUUUAGAAAAGCUUUUGGGUGUCAAACUUGCUAAUUUAGCCAUAUAUAUCAAGUUCAACCUUUAGUAAUGAUAAUUACUUGCUCCUCGCAGGUAUGGAUGAAGAAAUUAUCAGUGCAGAGUCUUUGCAAUUUGAUUUUGGCACCAUUAGAACUGCAACAAAUAACUUUUCUGAUGAAUAUAAGCUUGGGCAAGGUGGCUUUGGUGCCGUUUACAAGUUGAAGGAGAAAUAAAUAUCUCUGUUUUCUAAUUCUUGAUGUAAUGUAAGUGUUUGACGUAUAUAUACUUUAUUCCAUUCCAAUGUUUUUCAGGGUAGGCUUUCCUCUGGAGAAGAUAUAGCUGUAAAAAGGUUAUCCAGGGAAUCUGGACAAGGAGAUUUAGAAUUCAAGAAUGAAGUCCUCUUGGUGGCCAAACUUCAACACCGAAAUUUAGUCCGACUUCUUGGUUUCAGCCUGGAAAGAACUGAAAGAUUUCUUGUCUAUGAGUUUGUACCUAAUGCAAGCCUCGACCGCUUCAUAUUUCGUAUGGCUGCAUUUAAUCUUGAAUUCACUUAAAUUUCAGAUUUUGGCAUGGCAAGAUCAUGUGCUGUUGAUCAAACUGAAGGUGCUACUAGUAGAAUCGUGGGAACAUAGUAAGUACUAGAAAUAUUUAGAGUCAAUAAUUACACUUCAAUUUGCAUCAUAUAAAUAACAGAAUAAUCUUGGCUGAUACAUUAUCAUUCUCACUUGAAUAAGAUAAAUCAAACAAUUCAAAGGUUGAAAACUAAGUUUCCUUUUAUUGAUUUAUAGCGGAUACAUGGCGCCCGAAUAUGCAAUGCAUGGUCAAUUUUCUGUUAAGUCUGACGUUUUCAGUUUUGCUGUACUACUUUUGGAGAUAUUAAGUGGUCAGAAAAUUAGUGCUUUCCGUAACGGGAAUAAUGUAGAUCUACUAAGCUAUGUAAGUAGUAAUAUCCUUUGUGCCCGAGUUCGAGACUGCCACUCAUGAAAUUUAUUCAAAGCAUUAAAAGAAUUUACUGUUUAAUAAUUUGCAUGAACUAAACCCCUUCAGGCUUGGAGAAAUUGGAAGGAUGGGACAGCACUGGAUCUUGUAGAUCCCACUUUGAAGGAUGGUUCAAGAACUGAGCUGAUGAGAUGCAUCCACAUUGGGCUGCUUUGUGUUCAAGAAAACGUAGCCGAGAGACCAGACAUGGCUUCAGUUGUUCUGAUGCUAACAAGCAACUCUGUCACUCUCCCACUACCCUCAUAACCAGCAUUUUUUAUGCACAACACUCAAUCAGAGGUUCAAUGGUCGCAGGACUUAAAUUCAAGGGCAACAAAUUCCUGUCAAUCGAAAAGCGAGGUUUCAAUUACCGAGCUGUAUCCAAGAUAGCAAGCAGCUGGUCACAUUUGUAAGCAUUUCUUUGUCAAAUUCAAUACCAUUGUCAUUUAUGAUUGUCAUUUGUAAUUGUCAGUUUGAUCUCAUUUAUACCCUUAGACCGUCCUUGUCAUUUGUGAAGUAUGCCGGGGUUAAUCAAAUAUGUUAUCAUUCUUUUUUUCUUUUUGAAUAAGAAUUCAUUUGAAUGAAAAGUAAGAUUGAUUCGGUGAAAGUAAAAAUAUUAAUGGAGGUAUGAUUAAUUAUUAAUAAUAAAUAAUAAUAUUUAUUUAAUUUAUAUAUUAAUAUAUUAUAUAAUAGUUUUUUUAUUUUAUUAAAUUAAUGAAAGUACUUUUAUAAUUUUUAAAUGAAAAAAUUAAAAUGUUAUGGAAAAAAUAAAAAAAAUUAAAAUGAAAAAAAUUGGCUCAAUUAGUAUUAAAAUAAGAUUUAGGGGUAAAAAUAAAUAAAUAAAAUUCACGGGCAUCGAUGAUCUGCUUUCAUCGCAUCGGUCAUCUGUUUGAAUAUCCAUAGAUCAUUGGACACAAAAAAUAAUAAUAAUAAUAAUCUCUCAUAGAAAGUCCAAUCUCAUCCUAAGUCGCUUUGAAAUAUAAAUGUAGUAGUGCGUGCGAUACCUAUUAGUCAACAGAUUACGUUGGUUUUUUGACUAAUUGAUAUAAACUAUAUCAGGCCACGUUCUCUACCACGAAUCUGCCAGCUGUCACGGUUGGACUCCCGUAUUUUAAGCUGCACAUCGACAUGUGCUUUAGCCUAAUCAACCACUGAUGAUAUGCAAAUAAUUGUCAUGUAGAUAAACAAUCAUAAAAAAAAAAAAAAAUGGAAAUCUUCCUGUUUGACUGGCAAAGUGUUUGAUUUUGACACGGCAUUAUAAUUGCCACAAGCAAAUAAAAGUAAAGCAUGGGCCCUUCUUGUAUUCAAUGGAGACGGAAUCAACCUCGAGGCGUCACAGCUUAUCUUUUCCACCAGUCCCAUAUCCAUCGACGGCUCUUUUUUUUUUUUUUUUAAAUUUUGAAUCUUCUUUUGGUUUUAAACAUAGCGUGUGAACUAUGAAGCCCUUCCAGCAAUUUCUUACGAAAGAACUUAUGACUAGCCCAAAAUUAAAAAUUUCAACAUGAUCAUACAAAUCUUCUAUAUCAUUGUCGAGACCUUGAAUUAGCAUAGCAGGCUGUUGGACUGAUGUUUUGAGAGAGCUAGCCAUUGCUGAUCAAUUAGAGUCUUCAACAUUUGCAAAGAGAAUUAAUGAUCAAGAAAUAAAUUUAGUCCAUACAAUAAAACCCACCAACUGGGCCGGAUAGAAAACUUAUAAAAAGCUUAUGGACCAAAAAGUCUAAAUAGAAUUAUUUAAACGUAACAAUGACGAAACAUUGACAAUCCUCUCCAAUUAUUUUAUUUUGUUUUUAAUGACAAUCCAAUAUUUGCAUUUACAAGUUCUGUAGGUUAAUUCAGGUCAGUUUUAUUGGUAACCUAAACAUCUACUCUAGUUAACUACAGUGUGAAUACGCCGUAUAAAUGAAUAACGAUCAAACCGGUGCCCAGUGAAAAUUCCGCCUUUGGGGCACAAAGAAAGCCCAGUUGGUCCAUGGCGACUUGUCGCCAACCACUGCCAUCUUUAUCAACCUGUUGUCCUAUCUACUCGCCCAACUAAUAUAUGAAAUAAUUAUAAUAUACAUAAAUCUAUGGGUUACAUCAACAUGCGCAAAAAUAUCAUGCGCACCAUCCAAAUUACUUUAUUAAAUAUUGGUAUCUGGAAGGUCGUUUCAGAAAAGUCGCAAUAUCUCAAUUCGGUUUAGUAAUUUAUUAAUGCUUUCACCAUUUAAGCAGCUAUGUUUAUAAAGUCUCAUAUAGAAAAAAAAAAUUGGAAGAGCAGAGAGACGGUAUGGCAAUUGGAUCUCCAAGACUGCUUCUCUUGUUUUAUUCGGUUCUCCCAUUCCUUGCUACUCUCACCCUAGCAGCCGAUCAAUACUUUCAGGAUCGUUGUAUAAGCACAGCAGGUAACUAUACUGCAAACAGCACUUACCAGGCCAACCUCAACAACAUCUUCUCUCAACUUACCUCUCUGACGGAAUUCAACUAUGGGUUCUAUAAUCUGUCUGCUGGUGAUGAAAACGCCACCAAAGUUAAUGCAAUAGCACUUUGCAGGGGGGACAUAAACCAAACUGUUUGCAACAGCUGCCUCAAUGACACCAUAUCUGAACUCAGGCAGCGAUGUCCCUUUUACAAGGAGGUGAUUGGAUGGUCUGAAUAUUGUAUGCUGCGCUACGCCAACCGAGACAUCUUUGGAGAAAUGGAAGACUCUCCUGGCACUUGUCUACUCAACACACAGGACGUAGCGAAUGCUGAUCAGUUCAAUCAGGCAUUGGAUAACCUGUUGAAUAAUCUGAGCAGUCUAGCCGCAGCUGGGGGUCCUCUUCGCAAGUAUGCAGCAGAUAACUAUCCGGUGGGUGCCUUUCAAACAGUAUACGCUCAAGAACAGUGCACUCCUGAUUUGUCCGAGCAAGAAUGUGGUAAUUGUCUAACUGAGGCUAAGCAAGGGAUUGGAGGUUGCUGCUUGGGGAAGAUGGGAUGCAGGGUUCUUCGACCAAGCUGUUUCUUGAGGUUUGAGUCUAGCUCAUUUUAUCAGACUCCAAUUCCUCUACCGUCGCCUCCACCGUCUCCAACUUCUUCUCCUCCUCCAGGAGGUAAAUUAUCUAGUCUUGCCGAUAAAAAUAUUUCUUUCUCUUUCAUUUAAAAUGAUUACUAGGUGUAGUUCGAUCAAAUUAAUUGUCUUCUGGAUAACCAUAUAUCAUUUUCCAUACUUCUUUCAACUAGAAACCAAAAUUUUUUUGUUCUAAGAAAAAAAACCACUCCAAAUCCCUGAAUAAUUCGAUUGUUCUUAUUUCCCAUGUUACAAAUUAGUUUCUUAAUAAUAGAAAUCAUUUUCGAUUAAAAAUAAAGAAAAAAAUAGGGGUAUUAGAAUUCAAGGGAAAAAUGCUACUAUUUACGUAAAAUUUUUUGGUAAGGACUCACAGGGUAAAUAGAAGAAACAGAAUAAACAGAGCAAAGCACUUAAAAAGAAAAUAAAAUUAGUUAGAGACGAGCACCAAUAUGUAGCGGUUUAAUAUGUGACAACCAGAUUUGAAGGAUUUAUUAUGUGGUCUUGUGGGAAUUUUCUUCAUUGUCUUCUAGGUUUAUCCAUUCAAUGUGUAAUUAUAUAGAAUUCUAAUUCUGAUUGGAGCCACACUUAUGAAUUUUGCAGGAAACGGCAAUAAUACAACUCGUAUUGUCAUAAUUGUUGUUGCCUCAGUUGUUGGAGUUCUGAUACUGAUUACCUCCAUCUGCAUCUUUUGGAGAGUCAGGAAGACCCAUGAAAAACUUGGAAGUAAGUAAUAUUACUCCCUAAUGCAAUAUGAUAAUGGACUUGAUUCAGUAAAAUAUAUAGGAAAAAGGCUUUCAAGUAUUAGCUGCUAGCUGGUGAAGAAUCGUGAUGAAUAAGCAAAGAUUACUGUCAAUAACCAGUGAAUAAGUUUAUGAUAUCCAGUAGAAUUUACUUGAAAUGCGUGCAAAAUGCCAUUUUUUAUCUGCAAGUGUAAACAUUUUGCUUCUUGCAGCUGAUGAUGAGGUUAUUAGGGCUGAGUCCCUGCAAUUCGACUUUGCCACAGUUCGGGUUGCAACUAAUAACUUUUCUGAUGCAAAUAAGCUUGGUCAAGGUGGAUUUGGAGCUGUUUACAAGGUAAAGAGCUCAGCUAAUUGGAAAAGAAUAUUAAAUUGUCUCAAACUAUGAAAGCUUAACCUAAAUUAUGAAAUCAAUUUAAAAUCUCUUAUGGUCCAUUAUUCUAUUUUCAGGGUCGGCUUCCAAAUGGACAAGAGGUUGCUGUGAAAAGACUAUCCAUGAAUUCUGGACAAGGAGACCAAGAGUUUAAGAAUGAGGUCCUGUUAGUGGCGCAGCUUCAACACCGCAAUUUAGUUAGGCUCCUUGGCUUCUGCUUGGAAGGACAUGAAAAGCUUCUCAUUUAUGAGUUUGUGCCAAACACAAGCCUUGAUCAUUUCAUAUUUGGUACAAUUUCCGUUUCACUUUCAGAUGUAUUCCUAAUAAUUUUUAUAAAUUUUUUGUUUUUUUUUUAAGCCAUGGACAUCAACAUGAACAUAUAUGUAAACUGACAAGGGAUAAUAUCCAAACGAAGCCUAUAAUCCUAGUAAUUUCUCUUAUUCCACUAUAGUCAAUCUAAAGCUUCUACGAACAUGUAAUAUAGAUCAAGUCAAGCGUGCACAACUGGAUUGGGAAAGGCGCUACAAAAUCAUAGGAGGAAUUACUCGUGGGCUCCUUUACCUUCACGAAGAUUCUCGACUUAGGAUAAUUCAUCGGGACCUUAAGGCAAGCAACGUUUUGUUAGAUGCAGAUAUGGUUCCUAAAAUUGCAGAUUUUGGG
rnacentral:lncRNA from 1 species